rnacentral:rRNA from 1 species
GACGGAGGAGGCUAGCGUUGUUCGGAAUUACUGGGCGUAAAGCGUGCGCAGGUUGUGAGAUCAGUUGGAUGUGAAAGCCCGGGGCUUAACCUCGGAUGUGCAUCCAAUACUGUCUCGCUGGAGGUUGGAAGAGGAGAGUGGAAUUCCCAGUGUAGAGGUGAAAUUCGUAGAUAUUGGGAAGAACACCAGUGGCGAAGGCGGCUCUCUGGUCCAUACCUGACACUCAUGCACGAAAGCGUGGGGAGCAAACAGGAUUAGAUACCCUGGUAGUCCACGCUGUAAACGAUGUGUGCUAGACGUCGGGAGGCUUGCCUCUCGGUGUCGAAGCUAACGCGAUAAGCACACCGCCUGGGGAGUACGGCCGCAAGGUUAAA